UGGCUGAGGCCAGAACAGAGAGGGAGAGUGGCUGAGGCCAGAACAGAGAGGGAGAGUGGCUGAGGCCAGAACAGAGAGGGAGAGUGGCUGAGGCCAGAACAGAGAGGGAGAGUGGCUGAGGCCAGAACAGAGAGGGAGAGUGGCUGAGGCCAGAACACCUGUGGCUUCCACAGGCACAGAGCAGCAGUGGACCAUAGUUUCCAUUAGACAGUAAAUACAAGCUUUUGAAAUAAAUAAAAGCCCAUAGUUACAGUUUUGCUGGCUAAAUGGUCCGGUCCGAGCAGUUCUGCUGUCGCCAGAACUACAUGCUGUAUACCAGCCCUGUUUCAUGUACAGUAAGUAGCCUUUAAGGAUUUGGAAUGGAUUGAGUAGGGUAAUGAGGUGUAUCAUGGGCAAAAGGUGCAUUUCAGUGGAGCUUAUUUAGUAGCUCUUGGAAACAGAACAUUGAGCUUUGGAAAUGUGCUUUCAUAAAUGCAUGGUGUGGGCCUCGUUUCACAGGAGCACUGUAAAAUCAGCUUUCUCUCAAAGAACCAGCCUUAACCAAUUUAGUUUAUUUACAUAUCAUAUUUGAUUGUCCAACAUGAGUUUUACCAUUUCUUCAUUUUGUGGCUGCCUAGAGUGUCCUCAUUCCACUGCUGUGGCUCUGAAUCCCAGCUGGACUGGGACGGCCCUGGUGUUCAUAGACAGCUAUGUUUUGAUAUUUAUUAGGCUUAAUUAAAAUGUUCAUGCCUACGCUAAAUUACAUUAGGUUGUAUUUGAAAACAUCUGUGUUUUGUUAUUUAUUAAAUUAAAUGUUCACACAAAUAGCCUAUAGGACAGGUCGUUCACAACUGAUAUUAUACAAAUAUUAGAUGUUGAAGUUGUGUUUUACUGCUGUGUAGGCAGCUUGUUCUUCUAUGUCCUAAUGCGUUACGCACCCAAUGCAUAUGGAUGUGCUGCAAAUUGUUCAAAUGUCAGGUAAAAUCAAAUCUUGCCGCUCACCUUUCCGCCAAAUUCUCCUGGCGGAAACCCUGUACUGGUCCAUAGCUACUGGGCCAGAGUGGCUGGACCGCUGACGGUCUCCAGGGGUCAUGGAUAUCCAGGGGAGAGGAGGACCUGUUCAGACUCUUUACCUGCUCUCUCCCUCCCUCUCACAUACAUACCAACUGUUUACGCACAAAUACACACAUAGACAUGCAGACACACAGUAGCAGCAAACACACACUUCUCUUUGUCAGUGUCCUGUAGGAAUCUCUACAGGCUCUGUGGUUAGUACUCCACCCCAGAGGUUGUGUUAACUGGGUUCAGUGUGUCAGUGUCCUGUAGGAAUCUCUACAGGCUCUGUGGUUAGUACUCCACCCCAGAGGUUGUGUUAACUGGGUCCAGUGUGUCAGUGUCCUGUAGGAAUCUCUACAGGCUCUGUGGUUAGUACUCCACCCCAGAGGUUGUGUUAACUGGGUCCAGUGUGUCAGUGUCCUGUAGGAAUCUCUACAGGCUCUGUGGUUAGUACUCCACCCCAGAGGUUGUGUUAACUGGGUCCAGUGUGUCAGUGUCCUGUAGGAAUCUCUACAGGCUCUGUGGUUAGUACUCCACCCCAGAGGUUGUGUUAACUGGGUCCAGUGUGUCAGUGUCCUGUAGGAAUCUCUACAGGCUCUGUGGUUAGUACUCCACCCCAGAGGUUGUGUUAACUGGGUCCAGUGUGUCAGUGUCCUGUAGGAAUCUCUACAGGCUCUGUGGUUAGUACUCCACCCCAGAGGUUGUGUUAACUGGGUCCAGUGUGUCAGUGUCCUGUAGGAAUCUCUACAGGCUCUGUGGUUAGUACUCCACCCCAGAGGUUGUGUUAACUGGGUUCAGUGUGUCAGUGUCCUGUAGGAAUCUCUACAGGCUCUGUGGUUAGUACUCCACCCCAGAGGUUGUGUUAACUGGGUCCAGUGUGUCAGUGUCCUGUAGGAAUCUCUACAGGCUCUGUGGUUAGUACUCCACCCCAGAGGUUGUGUUAACUGGGUCCAGUGUGUCAGUGUCCUGUAGGAAUCUCUACAGGCUCUGUGGUUAGUACUCCACCCCAGAGGUUGUGUUAACUGGGUUCAGUGUGUCAGUGUCCUGUAGGAAUCUCUACAGGCUCUGUGGUUAGUACUCCACCCCAGAGGUUGUGUUAACUGGGUCCAGUGUGUCAGUGUCCUGUAGGAAUCUCUACAGGCUCUGUGGUUAGUACUCCACCCCAGAGGUUGUGUUAACUGGGUCCAGUGUGUCAGUGUCCUGUAGGAAUCUCUACAGGCUCUGUGGUUAGUACUCCACCCCAGAGGUUGUGUUAACUGGGUCCAGUGUGUCAGUGUCCUGUAGGAAUCUCUACAGGCUCUGUGGUUAGUACUCCACCCCAGAGGUUGUGUUAACUGGGUUCAGUGUGUCAGUGUCCUGUAGGAAUCUCUACAGGCUCUGUGGUUAGUACUCCACCCCAGAGGUUGUGUUAACUGGGUCCAGUGUGUCAGUGUCCUGUAGGAAUCUCUACAGGCUCUGUGGUUAGUACUCCACCCCAGAGGUUGUGUUAACUGGGUCCAGUGUGUCAGUGUCCUGUAGGAAUCUCUACAGGCUCUGUGGUUAGUACUCCACCCCAGAGGUUGUGUUAACUGGGUCCAGUGUGUCAGUGUCCUGUAGGAAUCUCUACAGGCUCUGUGGUUAGUACUCCACCCCAGAGGUUGUGUUAACUGGGUCCAGUGUGUCAGUGUCCUGUAGGAAUCCCUACAGGCUCUGUGGUUAGUACUCCACCCCAGAGGUUGUGUUAACUGGGUCCAGUGUGUGAGUGGACACAGUGGACUCACUGUCAGUCUCAGAGAUCGUGGUCUCCUGGUCUACUGUACGCUGCCUGCCUGCCUCAGAGGGUUUGAUCAUGUGUGGGUGGACACACUGACCUUACUGUCCGACUCACUGGACUCUGAGAGAGUGAGGAUGCUCUUGAAGUCAAGUCUAUUGGAAUUUCAUGGAAGUCUGUUAAGUUCCAGUCCUGGUCUGUCUGCUGGUGUUUGUUCCUCCUCCUGAAACAAAGUAUUCAGCUUUCUGCUGAGCCAAGGACCUACCAGGGUCAUCCACAGACCAUGCUGCUCCCUCUGCCUGCCUUUUUCCAUCUAAAAUUAUCUCUCCCUCUGCUCUGCUCUGCUCUGCUCCAUUCUGCUCUGCUUCAUUCUGCUCUGCUUCAUUCUGCUCCGCUCAACCUUUUCUUGGAUCACUCUCCCUUACUCCCUCUGCCCCACUGCUUCCCCAACCACACAUGGCAACAAAAAACACUGUCCUUUAAAAGACGGAUACAAGCCCUCAAACACACACACACACAAGCAUCUCAAAACAUACGUCUCAACUAACCACCUUUUUGGAGACGUCCCUGAAUGAAUAAAUAGCUCCACCCUUGUCAGGGAGGGGAGGGGAGGAGAAGGAGCGUUGGAGGCUGGAGUUGGCACCGGUUGCUUGCCUCCUGCCCUUUACUGGUUUGCUCUAAAUGAUAUCUCUCAUGGGGGAAAAUAUGUGGUGGUUGAGCUGAGUUCAGAGUUGGAGACCCCCACCUCUCUCUCUUUCAGUCAUCUACUCUCUCUU